GCAUCGCAUUCUGACAGUCCUCAAGGAAUGGGGAGAGGAAAUUACUUGCACCCUGAAAAAGCAUCUUUGCUGACGACUGGGAACGCCAGAGGAGGUUUUAUAGUAAGGUCUAUAAUAGAAUACUGGGACGAGCUGGGGUAGUUUUCCGCCUCAGGCUGUGCUGCCAAUAAAAGCGCAGGCCAGCCCGCUGUUUUUAAGUGCCGUGGACUAUGACCAAGUCCAUCUCCAAGGACUUUUCUGGCUGAAAGCAAAGUCCUGUGUCCAGAGUAGUAAAAACUCCUGGGCUCGUUCUAUUUUGAGUACUUAUGCCAUAUCUAAGCCAGGGUUGGCCCAAGUUGAAGGGUACAUCUUUAAGGGAAAGAUGCUUUUCCACAGCCCCAUGGCUGUGCCCAGCAGACACUCAACAUGGCUAAGGUGAGAAGGGGGAGGAGGAGAGAGAAGGGUAAGAAAGGAAGGGAGCAGAGGCAGAACAUCCCCACAUUAUGCUGCUGAUAAAGACACACCCAAGACUGGGCAAUUUACAAAGAAAGAGGUUUAAUGGACUUACAGUUCCACAUGGUGGGGGAAGCCUUGCAAUCAUGGCAGAAGACAAGGAGGAGCAAGUCACAUCUUACAUGGAUGGCAACAGGCAAAGAGACAGCACUUGUGCAGGGAAACUCCCCCUUAUGAAGCCAUCAGAUCUCGUGAGACUUAUUCACUAUCAGGAGAACAGCACAAGAAGGACUUGCCCCCACAAUUCAAUUGCCUCACACCAGGUCGUCACCAAUAUCAUUUACCACUGUCUGGGCCAAUGCAAUAAUACAUGAAAGAAAAAUAAGAGGCACAGUUCUUGGCAGAACCUCCCAAAACAUAUUCUUUGGAACACUACUUUUCUGGAAUGUUAAAUAGAGUCAAACCGUUUCUUUGCUGUAAGACUUCUCAAGGCCUUAAAUAUCCCAACAUUUGCUACGAGUCUCCAAGAGGGGAAAUGUUAUCCAGUGUUUCCCAACUUUUUCAACAUUGAAUUGAUUUUUGUCCCAGAGAAUAUUAAAAGUGAACAAAGGUUGUAGUUAAGAACAAGGGCUUUAGAGUCACAAAAACCAGGAUUUAAAUCUACAUCCUCUCCUGACUAAAGGACUGAGAGAAGGUAGUUUCAUCUUUUUUAACCUUCACUUCCUAUUGUGUGCAGUCGUAGGAAGGCAGUAUAAAUCCUCUGUCAAUUUCCUGUGUGUGCAUGUGUGUAAUAACACACUUUUGUUAAGUCUCACAGAGGUGUAUCUAAGGAUUCUUUUCAAAAAAUCUUUUGGUUUUGUAAAUAAUUAUCUCAAUAAUACAGAGGGAGGUUAUCCAUGUCAUUUAUUUCUGUCCUUAUCUUUAUUACAUCCUUCCUUCUUGAAUGCAGAAGACAUUAGCCACGCACCCCUACCACCUCCCCACUGUCUUGGGAAUUUUCUACAUAAAGAGUUCUGUCUCCCAAAGUGGAACCCAGAAACUCACCUUCCCAACCUCCUGCAAUUAGAAUUCACACAUGCAACCUAGACUCUGCCAAUCAGACCCAUCCAUGUGAGACAUCUGCUCGAAAGAAAGCAGCAUGAGGAGGCAGGCACCAUCCCUGGCAUGUGGAAUCUCCAUGCUGGCCAGGGUGAGCUUAGGGGCCCUGGCACUGACAGCCAGUGUUCAUGGUGCUUGGUGGUGGCAAUGACUAUAGAGGGAUAUUUCUGCAGCUGUUUUGUGGUCAAGUUUGGUGUUAUUCCUGGUGAUGCAGACUUGAAAACUGACUCUAUGGUCCUCCUAAAGAAUCAGAGCAUCUUUGUCCUUUAAUAAGUAAAUUUUCUGCUGAA
rnacentral:lncRNA from 1 species